CCUACGGGGGGCAGCAGUGGGGAAUAUUGGGCAAUGGGCGCAAGCCUGACCCAGCGACGCCGCGUGAAGGAAGAAGGUUUUCGGGUUGUAAACUUCUUUUCUCAGGGACGAAGAAAGUGACGGUACCUCAGGAAUAAGCCACGGCUAACUACGUGCCAGCAGCCGCGGUAAUACGUAGGUGGCAAGCGUUAUCCGGAUUUAGUGGGUGUAAAGGGCGUGUAGGCGGGAAAGCAAGUCAGAUGUGAAAACUCGGGGCUCAACGCGGGGCCUGCAUUGGAAACUGUUUUUCUUGAGUGUUGGAGAGGAAAGCGGAAUGCCGGGUGUAGCGGUGAAAUGCGUAGAUAUCCGGAGGAACACCAGUGGCGAAGGCGGAUUGCUGGACAGUAACUGACGCUGAGGCGCGAAAGCGUGGGGAGCAAACAGGAUUAGAUACCCGAGUAGUC
rnacentral:rRNA from 1 species